rnacentral:rRNA from 1 species
AUUGAACGCUGGCGGCAGGCCUAACACAUGCAAGUCGAGCGGAUGAAGGGAGCUUGCUCCUGGAUUCAGCGGCGGACGGGUGAGUGAUGCCUAGGAAUCUGCCUGGUAGUGGGGGAUAACGUCCGGAAACGGGCGCUAAUACCGCAUACGUCCUGAGGGAGAAAGUGGGGGAUCUUCGGACCUUACGCUAUCAGAUGAGCCUAGGUCGGAUUAGCUAAUUGGUUGGGUAAAGGCCUACCAAGGCGACGAUCCGUUACUGGUCUGAUAGGAUGAUCAGUCACACUGGAACUGAGACACGGUCCAGACUCCUACGGGAGGCAGCAGUGGGGAAUAUUGGACAAUGGGCGAAAGCCUGAUCCAGCCAUGCCGCGUGGGUGAAGAAGGUCUUCGGAUUGUAAAGCACUUUAAGUUGGGAAGAAAGGCAGUAAGUUAAUACCUUGCUGUUUUGACGUUACCAACAGAAUAAGCACCGGCUAACUUCGUG